rnacentral:rRNA from 1 species
UACGUAGGGGGCGAGCGUUGUCCGGAUUCAUUGGGCGUAAAGCGCGCGCAGGCGGCUUCGCGCGCCCGACGUGAAAGCCCCCGGCUUAACCGGGGAGAGUCGUUGGGGACGGCGGAGCUUGAGGGCGGGAGAGGUCGGUGGAAUUCCCGGUGUAGUGGUGAAAUGCGUAGAGAUCGGGAGGAACACCUGUGGCGAAGGCGGCCGACUGGGCCGACCCUGACGCUGAGGCGCGAAGGCGUGGGGAGCGAACAGG